rnacentral:tRNA from 1 species
GCCGUUAUAGCUCAGUAGGCCAGAGCGUUCGCCUUGUAAGCGAAGGGUCCGGGGUUCGAAUCCUCGUGGCGGCACCA